rnacentral:rRNA from 1 species
GUCUGUGAUGCCCUUAGAUGUUCUGGGCCGCACGCGCGCUACACUGAUGAAGUCAACGAGUUUAUAACCUUGGCCGGAAGGUCUGGGUAAUCUUUUGAAACUUCAUCGUGCUGGGGAUAGAGCAUUGCAAUUAUUGCUCUUGAACGAGGAAUUCCUAGUAAGCGUGAGUCAUCAGCUCGCGUUGAUUACGUCCCUGCCCUUUGUACACACCGCCCGUCGCUACUACCGAUUGAAUGGCUUAGUGAGUCCUUUGGAUUGCUGAACGUAGAGUGGCAACACUCUUGGUUUUGGUGAGAAGUUGGGCAAACUUGGUCAUUUAGAGGAAGUAAAAGUCGUAACAAGGUUUCCGUAGGUGAACCUGCGGAAGGAUCAUUAAAGAAUUUAUAUGAUCGAUGUAGACCUAAAAUCUGAACUAGUGGUAAAAAUGGAAACGACGUUUUUGGGAUUAAAGAUGGAUAUUUCGAAAGGAAUACCGGCCCAAAUAACGGAAAAACUCUUAUUAUUUUGACUGAAUAUCAAGUAAAAUUUAAUUCAAUCUUAGGGUUAAAUAAAAAGUUUUUAAAUAACUUUCAACAACGGAUCUCUUGGUUCUCGCAUCGAUGAAGAACGCAGCGAAAUGCGAUACGUAAUGUGAAUUGCAGAUUUUGUGAAUCAUCGAAUCUUUGAACGCAUAUUGCACUCUUUGGUAUUCCGAGGAGUAUGCUUGUUUCAGUAUCAUGAAAAUCUCACAAACUAAUAAUUUGUGGACUUGGAUUUGCGAUAUUCUUAGUAAUAUUGCUAAUCUGAAAUGAAUUUCAUGAAGCUAAAUAUGCUUUGAUCUUUGCUUAAUAGUUUUGCUUUGCAAAUCUUUUGCAUUGAAUCAAGUACAAAAAGUGAAUUGAUUUUACGAAAUAUAAUCUCAUUUUUUGAUCUGAAAUCAAGUAGGGCUACCCGCUGAACUUAAGCAUAUCAAUAAGCGGAGGAAAAGAAACUAACAAGGAUUCCCUUAGUAACGGCGAGUGAAGCGGGAAGAGCUCAAAUUUAAAAUCUGGCUUAUGCCCGAGUUGUAUUCUAUAGAAGUGUUUUCCUUUGAGUACCGAGAUACAAGUCUUCUGGAAAGAAGCAUCAUAGAGGGUGAGAAUCCCGUCCAUGAUCUCGAGUGGCUUAAUUUUGUGAUACACUCUCUACGAGUCAGGUUGUUUGGGAAUGCAGCCUAAAAUGGGUGGUAAAUUUCAUCUAAAGCUAAAUAUUGGCGAGAGACCGAUAGCGAACAAGUACCGUGAGGGAAAGAUGAAAAGAACUUUGAAAAGAGAGUUAAACAGUACGUGAAAUUGUUGAAAGGGAAACGUUUGAAACCAGUCAGUUGGCUUGUAAUCAAUCUAUCUUGCGAUGGAUGCACUUGCAAGUUUUACUCGUCAAUGUCAGUUUGAUGGGUUGGAAAAAGAUGGUUGAAAUGUGGCUAUCUUCGGGUAGUGUUAUAGUCAAUCAUGAAAUACAACCUAUUGGACUGAGGAAUGCAGUUGAAAUGUCGGCUUCGGCUUCUGAUCAACUUUGGU